rnacentral:rRNA from 1 species
CCGACGCUGGCGGCAGGCUAACCAUGCAAUAUCGAACGGAUCCUUCGGGAUUAGUGGCGGACGGGUGAGUAACACGUGGGAACGUGCCCUUUGGUUCGGAACAACUCAGGGAAACUUGAGCUAAUACCGGAUGUGCCCUUCGGGGGAAAGAUUUAUCGCCAUUGGAGCGGCCCGCGUCUGAUUAGCUAGUUGGUGGGGUAAAGGCCCACCAAGGCGACGAUCAGUAGCUGGUCUGAGAGGAUGAUCAGCCACAUUGGGACUGAGACACGGCCCAAACUCCUACGGGAGGCAGCAGUGGGGAAUCUUGCGCAAUGGGCGAAAGCCUGACGCAGCCAUGCCGCGUGAAUGAUGAAGGUCUUAGGAUUGUAAAAUUCUUUCACCGGGGACGAUAAUGACGGUACCCGGAGAAGAAGCCCCGGCUAACUCCGUGCCAGCAGCCGCGGUAAUACGGAGGGUGCAAGCGUUAAUCGGAAUUACUGGGCGUAAAGCGCACGCAGGCGGUCUGUCAAGUCGGAUGUGAAAUCCCCGGGCUCAACCUGGGAACUGCAUUCGAAACUGGCAGGCUA